CAACAUAUGGUCAUCGGGAGAGAUAAGCAAGGCAUACUGUAAUAUCAUCUGCGCACGAUACCAUCAAAAUGAACAUAUUAAAGCCUUUGAUUGUUAUUUUGUUCAUCUUCCUCCUUGAAAUAUUCAUGGCAGUUUUCAUCUUUACUUAUUUCAAAGACACUUCAUCAAAGGCAUCGGUUAGCACAAACAACAUUGAUGGAAAUGAAGUUGCAGGCGAAUGUGAAAACUGUACAAAUUCGAGCCCUGCAACACCGACCUCAACUGAAACACAAGAACCACCGAUUGAAAGCUCCACGAAUGGAACUUCUGAAACAACUUAUUUCUCCACAUCGGAUGAUCCAUUGAAGACUCGUGUUUGUAAAAGUGAAGCGUGUAAGUCGGGUAAGCUGAUUUGUGACACCUUCCUAUUUAUAUAUUUAACUGCA